AGCGAACGCUGGCGGCAGGCUUAACACAUGCAAGUCGAGCGCCCCGCAAGGGGAGCGGCAGACGGGAGAGUAACACGUGGGAACGUACCCUUCAGUUCGGAACAACCCAGGGAAACUUGGGCUAAUACCGAAUACGUCCGUAAGGAGAAAGAUUUAUCGCUGAAGGAUCGGCCCGCGUCUGAUUAGCUAGUUGGUGAGGUAACGGCUCACCAAGGCGACGAUCAGUAGCUGGUCUGAGAGGAUGAUCAGCCUCACUGGGACUGAGACACGGCCCAGACUCCUACGGGAGGCAGCAGUGGGGAAUAUUGGACAAUGGGCGCAAGCCUGAUCCAGCCAUGCCGCGUGGAUGAUGAAGGCCUUAGGGUGUAAAGUCCUUUUAACGGGGAAGAUAAUGACGGUACCCGUAGAAUAAGCCCCGGCUAACUUCGUGCCAGCCGCCGCAGUAA
rnacentral:rRNA from 1 species